GUGGGGAAUCUUGCGCAAUGGGCGAAAGCCUGACGCAGCCAUGCCGCGUGAAUGAUGAAGGUCUUAGGAUUGUAAAAUUCUUUCACCGGGGACGAUAAUGACGGUACCCGGAGAAGAAGCCCCGGCUAACUUCGUGCCAGCAGCCGCGGUAAUACGAAGGGGGCUAGCGUUGCUCGGAAUUACUGGGCGUAAAGGGCGCGUAGGCGGACAGUAUAGUCAGAGGUGAAAGCCCAGGGCUCAACCUUGGAAUUGCCUUUGAUACUGGCUGUCUUGAGUACGGGAGAGGUGAGUGGAACUCCGAGUGUAGAGGUGAAAUUCGUAGAUAUUCGGAAGGACACCAGUGGCGAAGGCGACUCACUGGCCCGUUACUGACGCUGAGGCGCGAAAGCGUGGGGAGCAAACAGGAUUAGAUACCCUUGUAGUCC
rnacentral:rRNA from 1 species